rnacentral:misc_RNA from 1 species
ACGAAUGGCUUCGGCCUUCAACUUCAAAACCCGUGGAAUAUAGCCGUGCUUCGGCGCCUUGGCGUCGUAUUUAUGCAAUAUGUCUGUGUCUGAAUAAACCUAGAAUUA